UACGGAGGGUGCAAGCGUUAUCCGGAUUUAUUGGGUUUAAAGGGUGCGUAGGCGGAUUUGUAAGUCCGAGGUGAAAUCUCCGAGCUUAACUCGGAAACUGCCUUGGAUACUAUAAGUCUUGAAUGAAGAUGAGGUUAGCGGAAUAUGUCAUGUAGCGGUGAAAUGCUUAGAUAUGACAUAGAACAUCUAUUUCGAAGGCAGCUAACUAAGCGUAUAUUGACGCUGAUGCACGAAAGCGUGGGGAUCAAACAGG
rnacentral:rRNA from 1 species